AGUGAACGCUGGCGGUAGGCCUAACACAUGCAAGUCGAGCGGCAGCACAGUAAGAGCUUGCUCUUACGGGUGGCGAGUGGCGGACGGGUGAGGAAUACAUCGGAAUCUACUUUUUCGUGGGGGAUAACGUAGGGAAACUUACGCUAAUACCGCAUACGACCUACGGGUGAAAGCAGGGGAUCUUCGGACCUUGCGCGAUUGAAUGAGCCGAUGUCGGAUUAGCGAGUUGGCGGGGUAAAGGCCCACCAAGGCGACGAUCCGUAGCUGGUCUGAGAGGAUGAUCCGCCACACUGGAACUGAGACACGGUCCAGACUCCUACGGGAGGACGCAGUGGGGAAUAUUGGACAAUGGGCGAAAGCCUGAUCCAGCCAUACCGCGUGGGUGCAGAAGGACUUCGGGUUGUAAAGCCCUUUUGUUGGGAAAGAAAAGCAGCAGGUUAAUACCCCGCUGUUCUGACGGUACCCAAAGAAUAAGCACCGGCUAACUUCGUG
rnacentral:rRNA from 1 species